AUCUUCGGCAACAUAUGAGCCAGUGUAAAGGAGCUAUUUUGAAAAAUGGCAAGAUUCACAAAGUUCAGGCACGACAGGUGCUCUACUCAAGACAUGUUGACACAAGGCUGCUGGAAAUGGUGAAUUAAACUGUACGUCCGUGUUUUAGGAGUCUUCUGAAAUGCUGUGCCUCUCAGAUCCACAGAGGCAUGAUCACAGUAGAAAUGGGAGGUGGAGGGCUUGCAUAUGAAGGCUUGUUUCACAGACCUCACUACCUCUUUGGAGGAAAUAUGUGACAAUCCAGAUGCACAUAACAAAUUGCUUUGGAGAGAAUUCUGAGAACGGCACAUUCAUGUUUUUCAUGUUUGUCACUGACUUAAUAAGAUUAAUGAAAUGUCAUUUUCAUA